rnacentral:lncRNA from 1 species
CCGCUGCACUAUCAUCUUAGGUUUUUUUUUAGAGAUAAUGGCAUGCUAUUCGCUUCGUUUAUUUUUUUUAUAAAUAAAUUUAGCUGAAAAAGUAAAUCGUUUAUGAUUCAAACUUGAGAUCUUGGGUACCAACUACCAAACCCUUUGCCACUUGUACGUGCCAGGGAUGGUCGGUCUCUUAGGUUAUUAAAGAUCGAGAUAAAGAAAGAAGACAAUACUAGAUUUUAUUUUGAAUUGAUUUGAGUUAUAAUAAAUUAAUCAACAAUUAGGACAUGUUUGGUUUAUGAUUGGAAUAGAAAUGAAAAAUAAAAUUGGAUUGCUUUUGAAUGGGAAAUAAAAUGACGAGUCAUCCAAAAAUGUUUGAUUAAUUAUUGGAACGAAAAUCGGAAUGAAAAUUUAAAACUUUUUAGAGAGGGUUUUGAUUAAGAAAAAGAAAAGUGAUAAAGGGAGAGAAGGAAGGUGUUGGUGAAAAAGAAUUUUGAAUAGUUUACUUUGAAAUAGGUCAAUUCGAAAUUCAAAGCCGGAUUAGGCCAUAAAUGGAUUUGGUCAUUCUCAUUCUAAAGUGGAAUGAGAACCGGAAUCCGAUUUUUAUAAAACUAACGACAGCUAUCGGAAUUAAUGAAUUCCAUUUUGAUUCCAUAACCUAAUUCAAAUAGUCUAAAAUAGAUAAACCAAACAUGCCCUUAAAGGAUUGAACCCUUGAACUA